UACGUAGGGGGCGAGCGUUGUCCGGAUUUAUUGGGCGUAAAGAGCGUGUAGGCGGCCAGGUAGGUCUGCUGUGAAAACUCGAGGCUCAACCUCGAGACGCCGGUGGAAACUGCAAAGCUAGAGUCCGGAAAGAGGAGAGUGGAAUCCUGGUGUAGCGGUGGAAUGCGCAGAUAUCAGGAGGAACAUCCGUGGCGAAGGCGGCUCUCUGGGACGGUACUGACGCUGAGACGCGAAAAGCGUGGGGGAG
rnacentral:rRNA from 1 species